rnacentral:tRNA from 1 species
GCCCGCUUAGCUCAGUGGUAGAGCAUUGUACUUAUGACGCCCCUAUUACCUAAGCACAUUAUGCAAGGGUCGGCAGUUCGAUCCUGCCAGUGGGCA